UACAGAGGGGGCAAGCGUUGUUCGGAAUUACUGGGCGUAAAGGGCGCGUAGGUGGCCUUCUAAGUUGAACGUGAAAUCCCUGGGCUCAACCCAGGAACUGCGUCCAAGACUGGGAGGCUUGAAUCCGGGAGAGGGAUGCGGAAUUCCAGGUGUAGCGGUGAAAUGCGUAGAUAUCUGGAGGAACACCGGUGGCGAAGGCGGCAUCCUGGACCGGUAUUGACACUGAGGAGCGAAAGCGUGGGGAGCGAACAGG
rnacentral:rRNA from 1 species